AAUAGAUACCCAGGUAGUCCACGCCGUAAACGAUGGAUACUAGCUGUUUGAGCGCAAGUUUGAGUGGCUAAACGAAAGUGAUAAGUAUCCCACCUGGGGAGUACGGGCGCAAGCCUGAAACUCAAAGGAAUUGACGGGGGCCCGCACAAGCGGUGGAGCAUGUGGUUUAAUUCGAUGAUACGCGAGGAACCUUACCAGGGCUUAAAUGUAGAUUGACGUAUUUGGAAACAGAUAUUUCUUCGGACAAUUUACAAGGUGCUGCAUGGUUGUCGUCAGCUCGUGCCGUGAGGUGUCAGGUUAAGUCCUAUAACGAGCGCAACCCCUGUUGUUAGUUGCCAGCGAGUAAUGUCGGGAACUCUAGCAAGACUGCCAGUGUAAACUGUGAGGAAGGUGGGGAUGACGUCAAAUCAUCACGGCCCUUACGGUCCUGGGCCACACACGUGCUACAAUGGCCGGUACAGAGAGCAGCCACUUAGCGAUAAGGAGCGAAUCUAUACAGCCGGUCACAGUUCGGA
rnacentral:rRNA from 1 species